GUCUUAUUUACUACUAAAACACAGCAGUGGGUCAGGACUAACAUUAUUAGGCUAAGCAUUCAUAUGCUCACUAUCCACGGGGCAGUCACCUUGCGAGUCUCUGCUGGCCAAGGUGCUGUCAAUCAAGCAGAGAUGUGUCAGCCUCUGUUUCUCAUUAGAACAGGAUGAUCCUCAGGGCUGUUGAUGCACUGCCUUCUUUCUCUCUGCAUCUUCUUGUGGGGUUUUUAGAUCUCAUCAAGUCAAUGAUAGUUUUCUGCUUUUUUUCCUCUGCUGAAUCUCUGAUGAUUUUGCUUCUCUGCUUCAAACCCUUACUUACUGGUAGUGACUCAACAAGUUCACUUCUGCGGUCGUUCUUUGUUUCUACCUUCUUGCCUUGCAUGGCUUAGUUGCUUAUAAAAGUCUCUCACCUCCAGAUAAAAGUGGGAGUGACAGCUACAGCUCAUCUCCAUGAAAACUGAACCAUGAGUCACAUAAACUGUUCCAGUGAUACCUAUUGAUUUUACAGUCAAUAAACAUACAAGGACCCUAGCUGCUCCAAGGCUUCCCCUCACAGGAUCCAUUCCAUGUGAACAUAUGUCUUAAAGAAAAGCGUUCAUUCAACCUGCUUAUGCAUGAGGGUUGCAAGUAUACCCAAAGACACAGAAAGAAUGGUUUGCAGCUUACUUGCCUCCAUGCAUUGUGAAUCAUGACAAUAGAAAGCUGGGAAAACAGUAAUUAAAACCAAAUUCUGCUGCUAUACACAAAUACUGAGGGAUAUGUAUGAGGCAUGUGCUUAGGAUCUUACAGAGGCAAAUGAGACUGUUGGGUAAAUAGACAGUACUAGGUAUUGCUGUGUUCUUACAUUUCACAUUUCAUAUCUUUCUUGAUAACUGUAACUACUCAGAAAACCCAAAGGCACAAUUUUAGUUGGGGAUAAUGUAUGUGCCAAAGUACAAACAUCUACACCAAUUCUCUAAGGUGUUAGAAUUGUCUAAAAAAACAUAACAGAAAGAGAAACAUUCCCCCCCUGUUCUCUGUAAUUCAAAACUUAAUUACAAACCCAAAUCCAGGAAUUUCACUCUGGGUCCUUCAAUGGAUAUGUAACGUUUUGUGCAAAGUGUUGAUGGAAUGAUCAACACUUUGCAAAUACCCUGUAGAAUAAAAGUAUCUUAACUAUGGCAGUCUACAGACUGUGAAGCAAAGGAUUUUCUAACACUGAUAACAAGUGGUACCAUAGUCAAUCCUUAAUGCCCUGCUUCACAAGCCUCUGUAGUAUGCCACUGUACUGAGAGCUACACAGAACCCAUCCAUGCAUCCCACUCUGCAGUGCUAUUGCAAGCAGAGAGGAAAAUAUCUUCUUUCAACUUUAGUGCAAGCCUUUUUUUGGUGGGUAAGCAAGUAAUGUUUGUUCUGGCUGUAGUAUCUGUUCUAAAUUUUAUAUAUUUGCAGUGUCUGGAAACUCCACUAAUGGCUGUGUGUGAAACUGUGACAGGUGGAUUACAGAGAUAGAUGACACUGGCCAUUUUUAUGUACUUGUAACCUGAUCAAACGUAUUUCAUUUUUAUGUCCAUGAAUGACUUCAAAGAGUAAACCAACAGAAAAAAUCCCCAAAACACUAGCAGAGAUGCAAAAGAAUCUGGGAGGACAAUGAAAUUAAUUAUACACGCAUUUACAUCACCUUGAAGUAAGAUUCAAGUAAAGUUUCAGAAAGAAUCAUGUCUGAGAUUUGAGUGCCAGUCAUACCACCAUGUACUGUAUGUAGAGCUAAGAAGUGAUCUUUUUCUUUCUUUACAUGAACCUUGAGAGAGAUAAGAUCAAGAAAAUUCAUCCUUUUUGCAUUGCCUUGAAUUUGACCACUCUGGUGGCACUGCUGCAGGUGCACAGGCUGUGAGGCUGCACCUUGACACCCUCCUCACUGUUAACAUGUUGUUGUCUGCAGGACUGCCUGUAGUCCUAUGGAAAAUUAGGGUAUACCACUAUGACCUCUCCAAAAGCUCCCGCAUGGUAACAUUCUGCAGAGGGAUGCGACAUUCUGGCUCAUGAGGUAGUGCCUCUCGGAGGAAUUUGGCUAAAGUUAAAACUCACUAAUCUGAAUGCCACUUCACAUCUUUAUGCUUCUGAGAUGAGUGCAUCCUCUUCCUUCAGUUUGUGGAAAAGAAGUGCAACUCAUGACUUCUUCUCUGUCUCCUCACCCAAAGAGUAUCAGCGCCAGUAUGGUUUUCAGAAAUUUGUAAAUAUUAUUUACUUCUGUUCUUUUUUCAGAGUCAGGAAGAUUAGAGGGUAACUGUUCUCUAAGCAGCAUGUUACUUCUGCUUCUAACAGAAAAAAAUAUAGAGCAGAUCUGUGCAAAGAAAUUGUUGGUUUUGCUUUAAAUUAAUGCACUUCCUUUCUCAGAGAAACUGUUUCAGUCUGGAUGUUGACGCAAUGUUUGUGUUGUUUCUUCUUUAAAAGUGCAGAUCCAUUCUCAGUCACAGCAGAGUGUUAGCAUAACAUCACUUAGGUGCCUGCCUGGGGUGUAUAUGUGUGUGUAUGUAUGUGUCCUAUUUUUGAGCUAUUUUAACUUACGCUUCAUAUUCUAGUGCUUUCUGAUAAGUAGAGUUUAUGUCAGAAUAAUUGGCCUGAGGAUUUUUCUUUCCAGUCCAGUACAUUUCUGAGGUACAGCUACAUGGGAGAUAAUGGAAAUGCCUCUAGAGUAUCUGUCUGACAAGGGAAACAGCAAGCGUAAGGAGUGAACACAAAACAGGGACCUUGUCAAGGAGUGUGCAAGUGAAUCAGUUCAAUCAGUCACUGUGGGUGACGUAUCUCAACAAACUGAAGCUGACACAAUGGUCAAUUUGACUGAGGAAAGUAUAAUUUUGGAUUAGGGUGAACACCUUUAAUCUGUCAAUUGUGGCAGUCUUAAACCUGUAAUUGAAAGAGCACAGCACUAUGUUACUCCAGAUGUCAGUCAAACCCAUUCACUGCCUUCUGAUCACUGAUCAGUUUGCCAUCUUUUCCAUAUUUACUUAUUAUAUUCCUAUUUAUUUCCUCUUUAGGACAAUAUUCUUUGCUCCACUUUAAAGAAAUCUCAAUCUAAUAAGGACAGCUCUUCAGAAUAACACUGGGAUUCAUCUGAUUUUCAAGCAGGCCAUGGGAAACAACAAAAUAGAAUAUCACCAUGUGUUUAAUUUUAGCUCUCACUCCUUGAAUUGCUGUUUCAACUGCAACACACUAUCUUAUUUUUAGUCUGCUUGUGUGCCUGAAUAGUGCCAGCCCAGCCACUCCAGAACUGCAGUCCUGCCUCUCUGUUGCAAUUCACAAUGAGGUAAUUUCUGCCCUGGGAGCAUCACCCAGAAGAUGGUUGCGUUUCCAGCUCAGUUUAUUUGUCUCUCCAGCCCCACUCUGGAAUAGGAACUGAAAAAUUUUGGGAAACACAGAGAAGCUAUGCUCAGCAACUUCACAAUAUGACGGUUCCGAUACAAGGCGAACUCUGGCCUUCAACCCUGGUGCUCAAAGCGUCUCUCACAGGACCUGUUAUAUAUCUACCAGCCCUGUGCCAGUGUCCAAGGGUAUCAGUGUUACAGAAAUUGCCAGAUCAAGAGAAGCAAAAAUGCAAAAGAAAACAAAAGUGAGAAGAUGAUGAGUUGGGAGACCAGCUGGUAUACAUCUGCUUUGCUAAGCUUGCAUUGAAAAUGAGUAUCAUUAUUCUUGUUCUGCAUGCAUCCUACUGCAUUUAGUAGUUGUAUCACCUAGAAGAGGCAACAGGCAUAUCCUGUGGCUUGCUCAAAUGUUUUCAACAUGGGUUAACUAACUGUUCAAUAUCCUAACACAGGGAGUUUUUCAACCUUUCGGUGCCAAGUUGAUCUUCAGGCAUGUUCAAAUGGAGGAAUGCUUAGUGGAGACUGGGGGUAUUAUUUUGUGGAGACUUUGACGAAAUUUAACACGCUAUCUUUAUUGACUUAAGGAAAAAAUCAAUGUCAUAUUAAUCUAGGCACUAUAUUAAAAGUUUCCAUUUUCAACAACAUUGCCUGUAUGUUGUAGAAUAAGCCUCUAAGCGUGCUUUUUGGCAGAUGGUUAAAUAUUUAAGUAGUUGGCCACAGAUUUUAAAAAAUUGAGAUAAUUAGAAGACUUGAAGCAGUUAAUAUUUAUUAGUCACUAAGAAUUUGACAGAUUGGAUGUUUUCCUACCCACACAUUCUCUUGCAGAAAAAAAUAAAGCCCUUAUCUUUCAUUGUAUACAAAGCAAGCUUUUAUAUGAAGCAGAAGUAGAUGGUAUGGACUUCCCAGGUUUCUCGCUAUGAGACACUGAGAUUAGUAGCUACAAUUUAAUUCAAGAAUAGGCCGGAAAACAACAUGCAAAUGAUGAGGUCUCUGUGAAACUGCACAGUGUUCACCCUGGAAAGAGCUGAGGACUGAAAUCUAGGACUGACUAUUCUGCAUCACUUCAGCCUUUUGGUGUCUCUAGCAAGGUUGCAGGGCUACUCCAGUGAUUUGAUUUAUGCAAUAACCCAUUUUCUAUUAGCUUUACCUCUUCCGUUGGCCUUCCUUGCAGGAGAGGAGAUGAACAGAGUACCAGUCUUGUGGUGCACCAGAACCACAUAGGAGAAGACUCCCUAAAUAGUGCAUUAAACUGGCAGGCAGAAGGCCAAGAACUGAGAGGUUACAAAGGCUAACCUAGGGGCUAGUUUCACCAGACAUGUCCUCUUUUAUCUGUCAUGAAAUCUGACUGAAAAGAAGCAUUGGGACAUUUGCCUAGGCUUGCUGGCUGCCCCACAGACAGGUCUGAACAAGAGCAGUAACAGGCUUUUGACUAGGCUGCAGUGCCCAGCUAUGUUGAACACACCAAGGACCACAGCUCAGGACUUCCUCUGCCAAGUCAGGCCAGUCCAACUGCACGGAGAAUAUAGCCAACCCACACAGACAGCAGGUUGGAUGAGCUCAGGAUGGACAUGUGGGCAUCUGCACAGCAUGUACAUGGUUGGUCUAAUGUGUUAUCCAUCUGUCAGACUGUCAAUACAUGCAAAUGUUCAAGCAGUAUCUGUGUGCAGACAAAGCCUGUGCAAUAGAUGUACAUGGUACUAACGUAUAAUAGAGGAGCCACUUGAAAUCAUUAUCUUCUUUCAUAAGACUGAAACUGACUUUGUCAGUGAUUCAUGAAAAGCAUGAAAGUAGCAUCAGUGUUAUGCUACAUAGCUGACUAGCUAGGAUGAGAUACUUAUCCAUUAUAUCUCACCUCUCUUUCUUAAUAGCACCACUGAACGGUCAGUACGUGCCCCAGUUUGAAAUCCCUUGGGUUCCUUUACAUUCAAAGGCAAAUUGAAAGUAAGAUAAACCCAAACAAGGCAUCUUACUGACACCAUUUGCAUGUACCCACAUGCAGCAUUAAAAAGAAUGGGUGCAUAAGAUUAACUGUGGCAGGCAGGAGAAUGAGCAGAAAGAAUUUUCGUCAGCGUCUACACAGCAAGGCCAAUGACAGACGGCAGUAUAUUAUAUAUCUACUAUAAUUCUUACCUGAUAAAAACUAGUAGGACAAGAUCAACUGCUCUGGCGAGCUGAAACUGAUCUGGAGUCACCCCAGCACUGCCCUCAAGGGAACCCAAGAGAGGAACUGGAAAGCAGCUGCAGAUAUUAACCUAUGCUGAUGCAAGGUUUCUCUCUAAGCGGAUGGUACCUGGAGCAGAGCGACCCCCUGGCUAGACUCUCCCUUACUGUCGUCAGAAGAGAUGAACUGCUAAACCCAUUGAGGUAGUUUUUCUUUAUCCUCCAAAAAUCUUUAGGGUCAUCCCUAUCAUUUACAAAAAGAUGGCAUAUUUUUUCAUUUUUCAGCAUUUUUUCUUUAUUAAUAUUAUUUUUGAGAUAUUUUUCCCAGUGCCUUCUUUUCAGACAAUAGUAAUUCAUGCUUUAUUUAUCUCAUUACUAUACUGAGACUUUGGAGGACUGAAAAAUGGGUAGGCUUAUGAGGUACAACAAAAGCAAAACCUGUUUUAAAUGAACCAAGACUUAGAAUUUUCAAGCUUUCAUAGGCUUUCUUUGAAUGAAAAAAGCAUGUUGGAGAAAGUCUGUUAAAGUUUCAGUAUCUUUCCUACUCAAGGAGGGAUCACAAUCCUCAGCCCUAGAAGCUCCAGCAAGAUUCACUGCAAACCAGAAGACGAGACAAGAAUGGAAGCUAACAAUAAAAAAGAAGCUGCAACCUUUUAAAAAACAAAUAUCACAGGAUUCCUUUACACAACAUAAAGAAACAAAACGGAAAUGAACCCACAUUGUUUCCUUUUCAAGUACCCAGAAGAAAAAUCUGCACCUUAAAAAGGUUUGACCUCAAUAUAGGCCAUAAUGUAAAAAUGUAGGGGUCUUGGAAACUUGUACAUUUCCUGGACUGAGGCCCAGAUUUUGUAAUAGAUCUUGCCUGUUACUAUUUUUCUUUCUUCUUCCAGUGGAGAGGAGUCUCUUUUGAAGAAAUGUGUUUUCUAGGCACUUUGACACACCAGAGUUGGGUCCUGUUUAAAUACUUCAAGUUUGUUAAAUACACAUAUAGUUGCAGCAUUUUCUGGGUAUGAGCCAAUAUUGUCUGCCUGGAUCCAGUUCUUACUAUCAGUUUGUUGGAAAGGCUAGACAGAGUGGUCUUUACCUGAACACGUAGAGUAUACUGUAGGUCAGAGAGAUAGUAUUAAGGCAGACAAUUUGUACCUAUAUUUUCUUCACCACAGUUUAAUGAGCGGCACCUGAAAGAAUUUAUGCCCAUAUUGAAAUCUUCUGCCUAAGUGAGAAGAGGACUUCUAGUACACACUGGGAGUGCAUCACCUAUGCUUGGAAAAUUAAUUAUUUCCGCCCUUACUUCACUUAAGGAAACCUGUCAACAAUUUGAUGCAAUUACUAAGAGUACUCUUUCAGGGGCCAUUUUGCUGGGCUAGACACAAUGUGCUUUUGCACGUUUUUUUUCUCUUCUGUUCCUAAUGCUUUCCGGGCUGACCUGAAACUGUGGCGACAAACUUUUCAAGCCUACCAUAAGAAGCUCAGGGACUGUCAGUACAUCUCUUUGCUUAUUCUUUUUGGUAUCUAGAGGACAUGUAUGCAAAUGCUUUCCUGUAUGCAAUCUCAAACCAGUGGACUGAAGGCAUCAGAGAAAACAAGAGACAGAGACUGAUUAAUGUUUUUUUUCCUCCAGAUAUACCUCUAAAAUCAGCUAGAAGGGGGCCAGACAUACAAUAAGUCAUAUUUCCUAGCCCCACUAAAAUUAAUUCCUACCAUAUCUUAUCAAAAAAUUGGCCAUGAGAGAAAUUUUUCCUUACUGGGACAUGCAUAAGUCACUCUAACUUUUGUGGCUGUAAAAUGAAAGCAAUUCCUUCCCCACCUUCCAAUGUUUGCUCAGGUGCAGUUUGAUUUCCACAUGAACUGAUUCAGGAGAACCUGCCUAAACCAGCAAGCCAACAGGAGUCACCAACCAAUUUGCACUGAGUGUAAACAAAGUCCUCAUCCUGAAAGACUUUGUUAUGUAAAAGUACACUACAUAAAACCAUCUUUACAUUUGUGACUUAUUGUAAGUCCUUAGGUGAUUUACCUUUAAGGAUGACUACACCUUUAAUCAAUCAGCAAGGCAUGCAGUAUGUAAAGUUCAUGCUAGCUUGAGUGGCAGUAGACUGUGUUUUUCCCCUGGUGAACAACCCCCUUAUAGCCCGUGAGCUGGUGAGGUUAUGCAGCCUGCCUAUUAGGACUGCUCUCAGUCACAUGCCUGACUGCACUCUCAAGUCUCAAGGCCACGAGUAAACUUUAAAGGAGCUUUGCCAAUUAAAUGUAAGCAGAAAACAAAGACUGUAUUUUUAACCAAAGCAAAUGUGAUCAGAAAUGUCCUCGUGAUGCUGGUACUGAUAAUUAUUCCUAUUAUUUUGCUUUCAAUAAAGAUGGCUUUUAAUUGAAUAUGAAUAUCAAAAUGUGUCAUGAACAUAAAGCCAUCUAAAAACUAGAGUUGAUCAAAUUGUCCACUGAUGAUUUGAAAUAAAUUAAAUGCUUUUCACUAGUGGUGAAAACUAAGCCUAAUUUCAAAAGACAAUAAAGAAUUUCUAAGUCAAAUGAUUUAUAGUCUUGUUUUGUGGAUUUUACAAGGGAAAAAAAAAAAGCCUAGAUGGCAUGCAUUAUCUACAAGAGGCAAAGACAAAACAUUGCAGAAAGGUUGUGCCAGAUGAAUUCCAGUAAACCUGUUAUAUCAUAUCACAGUCCAACUAGAUUACAGUAGGUUGCAGAAAACAUAUUUGAGGAAUGACAUAGGGAAUUUUAUAGAAUGUACGUGGAUUCAUUAUUGUACUCUCUCAAUUUUAAAUUUAAUUGAUUCAGUCCUCAGUUCAGAUAAAAUAAUGUUCCGGCUUCAGUGUUUAACUGUUCUGCUGGACUAGGACUCUGCCUACAAUGAAUCUAAGUGCACAGACUCCAAAGAGGUUUUCUGGACUUAAAAAUGUCAACAUUUUCAAUCCCUUUAUCUUGUUUUCCUUUUCAAUAUUAAAAGCAAGUGGUGACCAUACCACUGGGAAGCUUCUCUCUAGUGCUAUGAGCAUCUUGGUUCUAAUCUUGUCCAGCUAUGAGACAGCUAAAAGCUAUGACAGGGUAGAAGGUCAUCUGUUUGCGAAAGCCAUUCCAGAACUUCUAGCAUACUCUGAGAAGCAUAAUACCAGGAAAAGCAAGAAGCAUAUAAAAAAAUUCAGGGGGUCCAAAAUAGAUGCUAGGUUGCUUGCUACACUGCAUCAACAGAUUUCUUGGAAACAGAUCUUGUAGAAAUAUAUUGAAUUCAUUUCUCUUGGGGCCUCCUAACACCCUCCUGAAAGUCUCAGGUACAUGCUGAACAAAAGGGAGAACUAAGCAUUUUGACUUAAAAAGCCCUUUGAUCAGAUGAAUUCAUGUUUAAAAGAUAAGCGAGAACGUGACCAUUCCAAAGGGAUCCCUUUAAUUUCUAUCAUGAUUCCCAUAAUUCAAUAGCUAACAAUUAUGCAUUUCAAAGUCAUCUGAAAGAACCAAUAAAGACUGAUUGAUUACUUCAUCUGUAUACAUCACUAUGAGACACUACCACUCGAUGCUGCCAAAGCCAGUUCCAUGCCAGCCCUUGAUCUAAAAUUAGACUAAGGACGUGGAAGUGUUCUUUCCUCUACAAUGAUCACCUAAACACAAACGAGCCAACAGAGGCUGAGAGUCUGCAAAUCAGCCAGUACUAAUGGGUGAUUAUCGAUGACAAAACCUCAUGACCUCAAGACCAGGUCCCUCAGGACUCUCCUGAGGGAGACACAAAUUUCAGCACCCAGUAAGCAUGGUCCUCAAAUUUUCAGUUAGGGAUGUGUCUGGAAUUUUACUCGGAGAAGGUAACAAGGCAGAGAAGACAGACAUUCAGUGCAACAGCUUGAAGUAAUGAGAGUGGUUCUGGUUUCCCAGAACCUAAUCGGCCAUAACAGAAGUAGAAAGUACUUUGCACUGGCUUAAUCUCCUCACAGUUAUUUUUGCAAGGAAGAACAGAGAUCUCACAGUCUCAGUUCUGCAGUUUUGUCCAGCCUGAACAGUGUGGAAUAUUUCAGCCCUGUAUCUGGGCAGAGGUAGCACCAAUUAGCUGAGCUUCUCAUUUCUCAGAAACAUGCAUGCCAUUUCACAGAUACUGAGUGGAGGUCAAGGAAAUGCCUUUUGGCUCUGACUUCCCCAGACAGUUUUAGCACUUCUUCACACUCAUCUGAUUGCACUUGGAUUUGAGCACUUGCUUAAAGUCAAGAAUCUUUUUGCUGCUCCGUGGAAGACAAUGCCUUCAAUACAAUCGUGAACUAACACAAAUAUAGGUGAGAGCUAAACUUCCAUCGCAGCUGUUCCAUCUGGGACCACCUGUGAGAACUUAUACUAAGCAAAGGAUUGUCCUCAUCUAACUCCACAGCUGCUCAGACUGCUAUUACCUUUAAAGAGAAGAUGGGUUUUAUGUGUGUAUGUAGGAACUUAAGCCUCAUGUUAUUUUCUGUGCAUACUUCACAUGCACACAGCAUGCAUACACCUAGAUCCAUGAGUAUAUAUGCGCAUGCAGAUAAACAGAUAAUUUGGAAUUAUUUCAAAGCAAGUGAAACAUUUUUCUUUUCCUUCUAGUUGUUUCGCAACAAUUUGGCCUUGGGAUUUUCCAGGGAUCUGUAUGUAUGAGUGACAUACUUGUCUGUUUUUACAGCUCCUGCCUUAUGUCAAUUUAAGCAUCAUUCCUACACCUGGAGGAGUUCAACAAACAUCAGAUCACAGGUGUCACCCUCCAUUGGUUGAAGGCUGGCUCCAGAGAGUCUAGCCAAUAUCUGCUUUGGCUAUUAACAGCCUUG